AACGAACGCUGGCGGCAUGCCUAACACAUGCAAGUCGAACGAAGGCUUCGGCCUUAGUGGCGCACGGGUGCGUAACGCGUGGGAAUCUGCCCUUUGGUUCGGAAUAACAGCUGGAAACGGCUGCUAAUACCGGAUGGUGACGAAAGUCCAAAGAUUUAUCGCCAGAGGAUGAGCCCGCGUUGGAUUAGGUAGUUGGUGGGGUAAAGGCCUACCAAGCCGACGAUCCAUAGCUGGUCUGAGAGGAUGAUCAGCCACACUGGGACUGAGACACGGCCCAGACUCCUACGGGAGGCAGCAGUGGGGAAUAUUGGACAAUGGGCGCAAGCCUGAUCCAGCAAUGCCGCGUGAGUGAUGAAGGCCCUAGGGUUGUAAAGCUCUUUUACCCGGGAAGAUAAUGACUGUACCGGGAGAAUAAGCCCCGGCUAACUCCGUG
rnacentral:rRNA from 1 species